rnacentral:rRNA from 1 species
AUUGAACGCUGGCGGCAGGCCUAACACAUGCAAGUCGAGCGGAUGAAGGGAGCUUGCUCCUGGAUUCAGCGGCGGACGGGUGAGUAAUGCCUAGGAAUCUGCCUGGUAGUGGGGGAUAACGUCCGGAAACGGGCGCUAAUACCGCAUACGUCCUGAGGGAGAAAGUGGGGGAUCUUCGGACCUCACGCUAUCAGAUGAGCCUAGGUCGGAUUAGCUAGUUGGUGGGGUAAAGGCCUACCAAGGCGACGAUCCGUAACUGGUCUGAGAGGAUGAUCAGUCACACUGGGACUGAAGACACGUCCCAAAUCCUUAGGGGAGGAACAGUGGGGAAUAUUUGGCAAUGGGGCGAAGGCUUGUUCAAGCCAGCCGGGGGGGGGGAAGAAGUCUUUCGAUUGGUAAAGCACUUUAAUUGGGGGGAAGGGGAAGUAGGUUAAUACUUGCUUUUUUGACGUUACCAACAGAAUAAGCACCGGCUAACUUCGUG